UAGGGAAUCUUCCACAAUGGGCGCAAGCCUGAUGGAGCAACACCGCGUGAGUGAAGAAGGGUUUCGGCUCGUAAAGCUCUGUUGUUAAAGAAGAACACGUAUGAGAUUAACUGUUCAUACGUUGACGGUAUUUAACCAGAAAGUCACGGCUAACUACGUGCCAGCAGCCGCGGUAAUACGUAGGUGGCAAGCGUUAUCCGGAUUUAUUGGGCGUAAAGAGAGUGCAGGCGGUUUUCUAAGUCUGAUGUGAAAGCCUUCGGCUUAACCGGAGAGGUGCAUCGGAAACUGGAUAACUUGAGUGCAGAAGAGGGUAGUGGAACUCCAUGUGUAGCGGUGGAAUGCGUAGAUAUAUGGAAGAACACCAGUGGCGAAGGCGGCUACCUGGUCUGCAACUGACGCUGAGACUCGAAAGCAUGGGUAGCGAACAGGAUUAGAUACCCUGGUAGUCCAUGCCGUAAACGAUGAGUGCUAGGUGUUGGAGGGUUUCCGCCCUUCAGUGCCGGAGCUAACGCAUUAAGCACUCCGCCUGGGGAGUACGACCGCAAGGUUG
rnacentral:rRNA from 1 species